GAAACCAACAGGGAUUGCCCUAGUAACGGCGAGUGAAGCGGCAACAGCUCAAAUUUGAAAUCUGGCGCAAGCCCGAGUUGUAAUUUGUAGAGGAUGCUUCUGGGUAGCGGCCGGUCUAAGUUCCUUGGAACAGGACGUCACAGAGGGUGAGAAUCCCGUAUGUGAUCGGCCCGCGCCCUCUACGUAGCUCCUUCGACGAGUCGAGUUGUUUGGGAAUGCAGCUCUAAAUGGGAGGUAAAUUUCUUCUAAAGCUAAAUACCGGCCAGAGACCGAUAGCGCACAAGUAGAGUGAUCGAAAGAUGAAAAGCACUUUGGAAAGAGAGUUAAACAGCACGUGAAAUUGUUGAAAGGGAAGCGCUUGCAACCAGACUUGACGGCGGUGUUCCCCCGGGCUUCUGCCCGGGUUAUUCACCGUCUUCAGGCCAUCAUCGUCUGGAGCCGCCGGAGAAACCGUCAGGAAUGUGGCUCCCUCGGGAGUGUUAUAGCCUGUCGACAUGCGGCGUGCCCCGGGCGAGGUCCGCGCUUAGGCAAGGAUGAUGGCGUAAUGGUUGUCAGCGGCCCGUCUUGAAACACGGACCAAGGAGUCUAACAUCUAUGCGAGUGUUCGGGUGUCAAACCCCUACGCGUAAUGAAAGUGAACGGAGGUGGGAGCUUCGGCGCACCAUCGACCGAUCCUGAUGUCCUCGGAUGGAUUUGAGUAAGAGCAUAGCUGUUGGGACCCGAAAGAUGGUGAACUAUGCCUGAAUAGGGUGAAGCCAGAGGAAACUCUGGUGGAGGCUCGCAGCGGUUCUGACGUGCAAAUCGAUCGUCAAAUUUGGGUAUAGGGGCGAAAGACUAAUCGAACCAUCU
rnacentral:rRNA from 1 species